AUUGCCAGCUGGUAUUCUCCACUCCAACGGAUAUAUAGUGACAACUAGCAUUGAGGGAAAUAAGGAGGUGACUCAUUACUGACCAACAAACUCUUUCUCGUUUACUCUCUCUUUCCAACGAAUAAAACCAAAAAAAAGAAAUUCAAAAGAUCACUCACAUCUCUCUCACCUCACACUCACUCACGUUUUAUACCUCCCACCCAUGUGUCCCUCAUUCUGCCAAAUCCCAACACACUACUCACUCAUCAAAAAACUCCCUCCUCUCUCCCUCACAGGCGAUACAAAAAUCAAGAGGAAAAAUAAAAAAAAUCCUCCACCAAUCACCUCUCUUCUCUCUCCACUCUCUCUCUCUCAAACAAAAGAAAAAGACAAAAGAAAAUUGAAAAAGAACUUUUCCUCAUCGUCA
rnacentral:lncRNA from 1 species